GCAAGAGUGAGGUGGUUUUGGUCUAGCCGAACACACCAUGGAGCAGACCCAGAUGCACUGGAGAGAGGAAACGCAAGUCAGUGAGAGGCUGCAUAGUGAACAGCAACCUGAGUGUGCUCAAUCUAGUCAUCAUCAAGAAAGGAAACGACACCUGACCCCCUGAAUUAACCUCUCAGCUAAAAAUGUUGUAAAAGUACUCGAUAUAAUGAAGUGUCAUUGUAAUGAGGUCAUUGUCACCCAGAGUAACCACUGUCCCCUCAGAUCUGUGCCCGGCGAAGGAUCUUUUAGAGAUAAGAUUUUCAUUCGCCUCGGGUAAAGAAAGAUGCAACUAACUUUUAGGCACCUGCCUAGCAUUCUCUGUCGGGAUCUCCUGGUUUGGAACGGACGGCCACAGCACUUCAUAGGCAGGAUAAAAACUCAUAGGAGUUGACGCUUUAUACAACUACACAGAGAAAAGAGGUGUGCUGUUUUAGACCCUGAGUGUGUGCUAUAUUAGCACCGUGGUGUGCUAAACAGUGAUUCAGCACACUACAUGUGCUGUUUUGUAGGCAUAUAGCACAGCCUACGUGUUGUAUUGGUGUGCUUUUUCAUGGCUUGUGAUUUUGAUGUUCGAUUAAUGUGCUAAAUGGACUGUGCUAAAUGUAAUGGGGUGUGCUGAAACAGGUAAACAUGCUAAUUCAGCACAGUGUGCUGUUUUCAGUACCAAAUAAGGGCAUGCAGUACAACAGAUGUGCAGCUGCAGCUGCAUAGCAACAAAGAUUUUUUUUGCUGUUCUUGCAAAGAAGAAAAGAAGUUGAGUUUAGACAUGGUUUGAGAGCUGUUUGACAAAACUGUGGAACUAGCAUUCUCCUCGUGCAAAGAAAGAUGCAACUAACUUUUAGGCAACUGCCUAGCAUUCUCUGUCGGGAUCUCCUGGUUUGGAACGGACCAGCCAAGGCCACAGCACUUCAUAGAUGGCAACGACCUCUGCGUACAUCCUGGUGGUGAAGAGGGAAGUGAGCUAUUCCUAGCGAUUUCAAGGGUGUCUUGCUCUUUUUGGAGCAGUAGUCGCCAAUUAGCUUCUUGGCCAACUCGUGACGAAAUGAGAGGAGGGUUUUCAGUGCGUUGGGCAUCUGUAGUACCCUCUGAGCUGAUCCCCUCUGUCGACACCCCCCAUGAAGCGAUUAUAGUCCUCGAUGCUCUGUGGGCACGGGACGGAGAUUUUUUCGCCUGUCUUGACUGUACGUUGUACAUGCAGAGGUGACCGAAGUGGCAUCAGAGGGCUGUGGAGAUCACACGGACAACCCUAUUGUCGCUGAGACCGUCACCUUUUUCUUUCUGGAGAGUCAUGUAUUCCCCCCUGAAAAGGUAAAUAAUAAUUAUGCUUAUUACUUUCUGUCAGCUUUGGCUGCUUGAGAGCCUUGGGGAAGCCUCUGCGGUCAGCGUGAGCUGUACCACAAGUAUAAAUGCCAUCCUUCUCCAAGUCUUCUAACAGUUUGACAGACGUGACGAGGCUGUGAGGUCUUUCACAACUCGUGCUCCCAGUUGCUUCUCUGGUGUGGCUUCUCUCCCUGUAUACACUUGUAGCAUGUGGAAGUACCCGUCUGCUAGGACCCAAACCUUGAUUCCUCUUUUCACAGGUUUAUUUGGGAGGUACUGUUCAGUGCAGAUCUACCCUGAAACUUUAUCAUUGCCUCGUCUACUGCAACUUCACGGCCUAAGUUGUAUGCAGCAGAACAGCGCUCGUUGAUCUUAUUGAAGAGGGGGCGUACUUUGGCCAAACGAUCGCUACCUGGGGUGCCUGGAGUCGGGAGAGUGGUGUUGUCCGUGAAAUGGAGGUAUCGUCGGAUGUCCCUAAAGCGAUCGCGUGAGAUCUUCGAUGCAAUUGGUGAGUAGUAGAAUUGCACGUCUCUCCUCCAAUCAUUUUGAAUCGAUGGGAGUUUCACGAUCCCCAUGAAAAUGCAGAAUCCCAUGUAAGCCUUUAGCUCAGCAGUCGUGAGUGGGGUCCAUUUAUCAUGUUGUAGUGGGGUCAUCAUUUGCCUAGCGUAUCAAUUUGUCUCGGCUACUAUGUUAUCCAUUAUUUCAGUGGUAAAGAAAUGCUGGAAUAUGUCUAAGGAAGAACUUGAGAUGGAUACAGCUGGGCCUACAGAUUGGAUGAAGGCCUCUCGAGAAUGGUCUUGAAGGGUGGGAGUCCAAGGGCAGGGGGAACUGUUUCAGGUGUGUGUGUGUGUGUGUGUGUGUGUGUGUGGCUUAGGCAAAUUUACAAUUGUUGUGUAGUAACCAAUUACAACUUGUCUGUACUGUGUUGUGCCACUGGCCUAUAGGACAUUGUGUUAUUAUAAUGGUGUGCAACUCAUUAUUACCUCUUACUUGUGUAAAGUUAUAAUUGUCAUGUUUUAGGCAUUCCAAAGGUCACUUCAAUUGUGGUUGUACUUUUUGGCUUCUGUGAGAUAAUUAUUUUUACAUUGUCUGUUCCCAAUGCCAAUGUAUUAGGCCUGCAAUCCAUGCUUUUGUAUUAUUCUCAAUGAUUGUUGAUAACCUGGGGAAAGUCUGUACAGAUUCUCUCUAUUAUUGUCAUGUGUUGUGCCACUGGCAUAGGACAUUGGUUGUGUGUUAUUAUGGUGCAACUAUAACCUUUUUGUAGGGUCAUGUUUUAGGCAUGCCAAAGGUCACUUCAAUUGUGGUUGUAGUUUUAGGCUUCUGUGAGAUAAUUGUUUUUACUUGCAAUGUAAUGUCUGUAGUAGGCACCUGUCUGUAGGCACCCUCCAAUUCUUUAUGCUUUUUUGUUCCCAAUGUAUUCCCAUGCAGUGAUAAUGUAUUUAGAAUUCUCAGAGGCCACACAUUAUUUAUUUUGUUCCCUGUUGCAAUUUAAAUUUUGUUUGGCUUUCUGUGUGUGCAUAACAGACACUUUUUGUAGUGUUAUUAUCUGUUCCCAAUGCUAAUGUUUAGGCACUCCCAAGGCUACAAUUCCUUUAUGAAAUGUCCCUUAUGAAAUUAGGUCAAUUUGAUCCUAAUCACUAUGCACCUGGCUUUUAGCUUUCUCUGUGUGUGUGCAUAAGAGGCACUUCUUUGUACAGUUCCCAAUGAUAGCUUGUUGACUCAGAAUCAUGGUCACUGCUAUCCAGGAGAUCUUGCAGUACCUCCUCUCUAGUAUACGAAAGCCUCUAAGUCAUUGUUGUCCUGUAGAACUAAUUUUUAUUGUGUUUGUUGUGUUGUAUCUUCACUUUGAAUUUUAAUAUUGAAUGCAAUUUUCACUUAAAAAUACAAAUACAAGCAUAUUUUUGAUAGCUAACCUGUACCCAGUUUCAAUGUUCGUGUUAACUGCUCUGCCCUUGAAAAACUCGAAGUUUUGCACACUUGAUGAACAUUUCCCACUAUAAUUAUACGUACGGUAAUCGUCUAAUUUCAUGCUAAAGAAUGUGUGUGCCUUUUGAUGGAGGAAUCAAUGAUUGAUUUUAGUAUACGUAGCUAUACCCACAUUGUACUAUUAUAUACAGCUAAAAUCCUAGUCACACCCACACACCCCACCCCACCCACCCACCCACACACACACACACACCCACACACCACCCACAGGCACAAGGCAGACUAGUGUCCUCCUGGUGAAGCUACACCUUCAACUGUAUGAGAUGUACACACAAGAACACAAUCUGCUUGACUUCAAGACUGUGACCUGGUCCCAUACUAACUUUAAUUUAUUAGCUUACUAGUGACCUACGUAUAUACCACAACCUUGUAAUACAUUAUUUUAUUCUUUCAUGCAUGUUUGUUCAUUGCAGUUCUUGAUA